UGAGGAAUAUUGGUCAAUGGGCGAGAGCCUGAACCAGCCAAGUCGCGUGAGGGAUGACUGCCCUAUGGGUUGUAAACCUCUUUUGUAUGGGGGGAAUAAGCUUUACGAGUAGAGUGAUGACAGUACCAUACGAAUAAGCAUCGGCUAACUCCGUGCCAGCAGCCGCGGUAAUACGGAGGAUGCGAGCGUUAUCCGGAUUUAUUGGGUUUAAAGGGUGCGUAGGCGGCAUUAUAAGUUAGUGGUAAAAUAUUGGGGCUUCACCUCACUACGCCAUUAAUACUGUAGAGCUAGAGAACAGACGAGGUAGGCGGAAUAAGUUAAGUAGCGGUGAAAUGCAUAGAUAUAACUUAGAACACCGAUAGCGAAGGCAGCUUACCAGACUGAGUCUGACGCUGAUGCA
rnacentral:rRNA from 1 species